rnacentral:sRNA from 1 species
AUCUAUCACUGCCAAUCUAUCUAUCGCUGCUAAUCUAUCGCUGCUAAUCUAUCGCUGCUAAUCUAUCGCUGCCAACCUAUCUAUCGCUCCCAAUUUAUCUACCACUGCCAAUCUAUCUAUCGCUGCUAAUCUAUCGCUGCCAACCUAUCUACCGCGGCGAAUCUAUCCAUCGCUGCCAAUUUAUCUACCACUGUCAAUCUAUCUAUUGCUGCUAAUCUAUCGCUGCUAAUCUAUCGCUGCUAAUCUAUCGCUGCUAAUCUAUCGCUGCCAACCUAUCUACCGCGGCGAAUCUAUCUAUUGCUGCCAACCAACCUACCUACCACUGCCAACCUAUCUAUCGCUGCCAAUCUAUCGCUGCCAAUCUAUCACUGCCAACCUAUCUACUGCAGUGAAUCUAUCUAUCACUAUCAUUACUAGUUCAAAAUAGAACUAGAGCAUAAAUACACUAAACUUCUUUUGAUAGAUAAUGAUUUUUGGUAACACUCAUAGCAUUAUAUCAUCUAUAUAGGGUAAAUCAUGGUCCCAUUUGGUCCCAUUUUAACAAAAUGGGAUCAAAUGGGACCAGAAUCAGUAAUUUAUAAGAAGAACAUGACCUGAGACUAGAUUUAUAAUAUAAACAGUGUAAAGUGACUAAUUUAAUAAACAC